AAGCAAGUAAGAAUAAAUUUAGUAUGUAGAUGUCCCUUUUAUUUAUUCAUUAAGGCAUCAAACAUUUAUGGAGCAAAGGUUAUGUGAAAACACCAGAGUAACCUAUGACAGGGGUGUUGACAUGACUGUCUUUGCUUUCAGAGUGCUUACAGUCUAUCGGUAGAAAUACAAUAUGUAAAUAAUAAUAUAUUAAUAUUAUAUACAAUAUUAAAGAUGCAGGUAAGCACUAGGGAAGUUCAGAAAACAUUUUCAUUCUGAACAGGGUUUUCAUUUUAAUUUUUAAAUUAAAAUCAAAAUCUUUACUAUUUUGAAAUGGUAUUUUGUUCUCCUAUAGAAACAGUUUGGAUCUGGGUUAUGCAUUAACUUGCAACUGUAAAGUAUCAGAAAUGAUCAAUCUAGGGAGAUGGAAAAAUCACAUAAAUUCUAAAGGUCUUAAAAACAAUUCUCAAAGGUAAAAUCUUGUCCUACAAUCCCUGUAUUAUGAUUUCACACCACCACUUUAUGGCAUGUAAAUCUUAGGAACUAUAAGGGAAGGUUAUAAAUUGCUUGAUCCCAUAAGAUAUCCAGAUGUCCUUGGGUAGACCUUUCUAUGACUCAGUCUCUCAACUGUAACAAAAAGGAGUUAAAUUCAAAAUCUCUACGACCCUUUCAAGGUCUAAUGUCCUGAGAUUCAAAGACUUUUUACAUAGGCCAUUUUUCAUACAACUAAUUUUCAUUCCAUGAAUAAAUGUAGUUAGGUUGCCAGUUCCACAUAAAGGGAUCAUAUAGAAGUAAUUGGAUCCCCAUGGAAAAGCAAUGCCCUAUGUAUGUCUCAUGCCUCAUAAAUAGUAUACUGUGAGCAUGUGCGGAUCCUAUGCACAGUAAUGAAAGACUUGAAAUCUCCUUAUUUAUCCCCUAACUAUUUUUUCUUAUUAGAGAUACACAGAUUCUACUCAUUUGCAGCCUGUUGACACAAAACAGAGAACAUAACCUUAUAAACAUGCCACUUCUUAGUGAAAAUGGGACUUGUAUGCAAGGACUGGGUGGGUACCAAGAUAGCAGAAUGGCCAAAUAAAUUUUAAUAAAAGGAAUUCUAAUAUGAAAUUCAUGGUUCUAUUUAUUUACAUGAUAUACUCCAGUCUCCAUCUCCACUAAAUCUUCAACAUAUCUGCCAACUUUGAGUAAGUAUUUCUGUGCCUUUUGCUGUUGGUUGUGUAUAUAUUGAAAAGGGCUAAACCUCAUAUUGAGAUGAUGAUGUAGCAAAACACAUCACAUCAAUAUAUGGAGCAGCCAGGUGUUUGAAAGAACUCUUUUAAUAACACGUACUACUUUCUUCUUUGUACUUUAUAUUAUGCAGGCUUUCUUCUCUUACACAGUUAAGUUAGUAGAAGGAGAAGGUCCAUGCCUGAUUUAUUUUAUAUCUGUCACUGUGUUUCUAACAUUGCUCUUCCUCAGAAAGUAGAUGCCCAAUAAAUAUUUCCUGCAUGAUGCAUUAGACACAGAUCUAUCUAAGCACAGGGGAAGCAAUGAAUCUUGCUGGUGAUGACCCCAUCAAAAUGCACAAUUUUCAUGAACGGGACCCUUGAGGUCUUAAUCCUUUUGGCUUUCUAUGAGAUAUUUUGAUGGCUUUGAAAUUAACUGUCUGUUUAUUUUAAGGUAUGUUUAUCAGACUUGCCUAUCAGACACUGAAGAUUUAAUUUUUAGGGCAUUUCUUCUCUUUAACUCAAAGUGAGAUAGUGACACAGAACAGAAGGACUUUGGAUGCUGGUGCAAUACUGGUGAUCCCUCCAUUAAUGAUAUCUCUUGUCUGAAUAAGCAUACAAAUAGUAGUACACUAAUUGUACAUCCCUCCCUGUUUCAAUAUAUACUCCUUCUGAUGACAGACAAGGCAUUCCUUCACUUGAAGGCAAUGGGUAUGAAAACAACUUCACCCUUAAGUUUUAUAGGUAAUGAAUUUGAAAUACACAUAUAUAAAAAUACAAAGCAAAGGCAUCAUCUAUGAUUUGUCAUGUUGGCAGAGAAAUUUUGACAUUUUUCAUGCUCAAUGUUGAUCAUAAUAUGAGGGAGGACGAAGGGGGAACAUAAUAGCACAUGUUCCACCCAAUUGGGGUUAGAAAAUAACUGAAAAUCUCCAUCAUUUUUCAGUGGACAGAAAAUAAGCAUUAUAUCUUCACUCUAUGAUUCCCCUAGAUCAUGAUAAAGCUACCCUUCUUCCCCUGAAUUAGUCAGUUUACCUGCUGUCCCCUGGGAACAACCAAUAGCUUCAUGGAGAAGAACUGCAUUUUAUUUCAUAAUUCUUAAGAUGAUGUAAUCACUGGUCAAGAAUAUUUAUAAGCAGUGAAGAAGAAAUCAGGCUUCAUAAUGAAUUAACAAAUUGUACUUGUAAUGAGAAAAGAGAAGAGAGAAUAAUACCCCUGGGAUUUUUCAUGAACAUUAAGAUCAUAAACUUUUCUCUUUCUCCCAAGUAUGGAACAACAGACUAAUGUGACUGAUGGAGAUCAGACUGAGAAUUUAAUUUGGGGAAGGUUAAGCAGACUCAUGAUGGUAAAACUCUUGACAAUUUCGUUUUGGUUAAGGGUAGUGAUCUAGAUAGAUGGCUCUUUUCUUUAGGAAAAAAAAAAAAGAUGAUGUUUCCAUAAGACAGAAAAAAACGGGAGGCAAAAUAACACGAAUAUCUUCCAAUUUUAAGAUGGUGGUUUAUUAACAUCUCUCCUUAUCUCCCAUUUCUGAUUAAGUUAAUGUUAAGAUCUCGAAAGUUAAUAUAUAUGACAAGGAACUCUGAAUGCAGUUAAGUUGGGCAGGGGUGAAAAGGACACAAAUAGAAGAUGUCCAGAACUGUGAUCCCCAAAAAAGUGGGGGGGCGGAAGAUUUCUCCAGUUAGAUGAAUGCUAUCAAGGUCCAAAACAGAAUUCUCUUAAUCAGAACAAAAACUAAGGUAAGAGGGUUGGCUACAGAGGCACCUUAAAACCUCUUUGACCCCCUCAAAGUGGCAGGACUGUAAAGACAAACCAUUAUUACAUAUUUUAAAAUGAGUAAUAGGACAUCCUGCAUCCAGAGCAGCAUGUUAAGAAGCUUGCAAAUCAUCGCUCCAUCCUAACAAGUGAAAACUGAAAAAUUAAUAACUCUUCCUAGAUCUGUAAGAGAAGUGAGGUCACCGGACAAACCACUGUCCCCCAAAUGCAGAAUGAAUAAAGAGAAUCAGAGCACCGUCUUUGGGAACCAGUAUGGGGUAGGAAACCUGAACUGUAGUUGGUGAGUUUCUGGAAGCCUAAAGUGAACAACUUUGAGAAGUAAAAACUCCAGAGGUCUCUAGUCAUUGAGGACCCCCACAUUUUUGUGAGAUUUUUACUUCUUGUAUCUCUACUAGGCUCUCACAAUGAACAGUAGGAAAAAAAUCUCAUGCUUCUAGUUGGGGAAAGGAAAAAGAAACCCUUUUGAAAUAUGCUGGAGCAUUCUGUCACUUUUUUUUGCCACAUUUGUGGCAUUGAGCAGAGAGAGGAGGAGGGAGAAGCAUGUGUGAAGUUCAGAGUCCAGAGGUAUAGGUUCCCGAAAAGACUAUAAUUUAAUCAUAUAACUAUAAAAUGCUUUUCUUCACCAUCCAUCUUACCACCAUCACAUUACUAAAGGGUUAUUUACAGUAGUUCCUUUUAGUCAGUAUAUUAUACCUGGUUAUCAAGAAAAACUAAAAAAAUAUUAAAUGGCAAAAACCACAGUUGGAAGAGAUGGAGCAAGAAGCAGAACCAGACUCAGAUGGCAGAUGUGUUAGAAUGAUCAAAUUGAGAAUUUAAAGCAACUAUGAUUAAUAUGGAAACAUCUCUAAAAAGAUAAAGUAGACAGCACACUAGACUAGAUGGGCAAUGUAAGCAGAGAGGAAAUUCUAAGAAAGAAUCAAAAAGAAAUGCUAGAGAUCAAAAAACAC
rnacentral:lncRNA from 1 species